CGAAAGCCUGACGGAGCAACGCCGCGUGAGGGAGGAAGGCUCUUGGGUUGUAAACCUCUUUUCUCAAGGAAGAUAAUGACGGUACUUGAGGAAUCAGCAUCGGCUAACUCCGUGCCAGCAGCCGCGGUAAUACGGAGGAUGCAAGCGUUAUCCGGAAUAAUUGGGCGUAAAGCGUUCGUAGGUGGUGAUGUAAGUCUGCUGUUAAGGCGUGUAGCUUAACUACAUAUAGGCGGUGGAAACUACAUGACUAGAGUGCGUUCGGGGCAGAGGGAAUUCCUGGUGUAGCGGUGAAAUGCGUAGAUAUCAGGAAGAACACCGGUGGCGAAGGCGCUCUGCUAGGCCGUAACUGACACUGAGGGACGAAAGCUAGGGGAGCG
rnacentral:rRNA from 1 species